GUUCUUCUGAAAUCUGCUUUAAAUGGUUGUGAGAAUGGCGUGUAGCUGAACUGCUGAGACUCUUCAUGACUUAUGUUUGCAGAACCAGCUGUCAUAAAGCAAACAGAACUUGACUGCUUGAGUCAGAGUCCAUUAAAAUGGGCUAAAGACUGAAUGUCCUCCAUCAGGCUGCUUGCUGUUGUACUCAAGUGUGCUCAGGUACAGUGCUGCUGUGCACCUUGGAACAAAAGUGACUAACAGCUCUCAACAACAGGAGUGGAAAUAAUGGCAGGGGUAGCAAAGACAUGAAGAGUUUUGAAAAGCAAUAUUCCUCAGUGUUGGGAAAGUAAUAAAAGGAAUACAAUUUUGUAUGAUGGGUUGCUGAUGUAAAGCACAGUCCUCCUCUUCUCUUUUCCAUUCCCAAUAUGCAAAAGCAGCAAAGAUGGCCAAUAUCAUUUAAAUCAGCAUC